rnacentral:rRNA from 1 species
GAAUAUUGGACAAUGGGCGCAAGCCUGAUCCAGCCAUGCCGCGUGUGUGAAGAAGGCCUUCGGGUUGUAAAGCACUUUCAGCGAGGAGGAAGGGUGUUGUGUUAAUAGCACAGCAUUUUGACGUUACUCGCCGAAGAAGCCCCGGCUCACUCCGUGCCCGCCGCCGCGGUUAUACGGAGGGUGCAAGCGUUAAUCGGAAUUACUGGGCGUAAAGCGCGCGUAGGCGGUUUGGUAAGUCGGUUGUGAAAGCCCCGGGCUUAACCUGGGAAUUGCAGUCGAUACUGCCUGACUAGAGUAUGGUAGAGGGAAGUGGAAUUUCCGGUGUAGCGGUGAAAUGCGUAGAUAUCGGAAGGAACACCAGUGGCGAAGGCGACUUCCUGGGCCAAUACUGACGCUGAGGUGCGAAAGCGUGGGGAGCAAACAGG